AAUAGAUACCCAGGUAGUCCACGCCGUAAACGUUGGGCGCUAGAUGUGGGGACCUUUCCACGGUUUCCGUGUCGUAGCUAACGCAUUAAGCGCCCCGCUUGGGGAGUACGGCCGCAAGGCUAAAACUCAAAGGAAUUGACGGGGGCCCGCACAAGCGGCGGAGCAUGCGGAUUAAUUCGAUGCAACGCGAAGAACCUUACCAAGGCUUGACAUACACGAGAACGGGCCAGAAAUGGUCAACUCUUUGGACACUCGUGAACAGGUGGUGCAUGGUUGUCGUCAGCUCGUGUCGUGAGAUGUUGGGUUAAGUCCCGCAACGAGCGCAACCCUCGUCGCAUGUUGCCAGCACGUUAUGGUGGGGACUCAUGUGAGACUGCCGGGGUCAACUCGGAGGAAGGUGGGGAUGACGUCAAAUCAUCAUGCCCCUUAUGUCUUGGGCUUCACGCAUGCUACAAUGGCCGGUACAAAGGGCUGCGAUGUCGUAAGGCGGAGCGAAUCCCAAAAAGCCGGUCUCAGUUCGGAUUGAGGU
rnacentral:rRNA from 1 species